AAGACUAUAGACCUGCGGAGUACCUGCGGAAGGAUCAUUAUUGAAUUAUGUUUCUAAAUGGGUUGUAGCUGGCUCGUCAGAGCGUGUGCACGCCUGUUUGGACUUCAUUUUCAUCCACCUGUGCACCUAUUGUAGUCUUUGGUUGGGUAUCAAGGAAGUGGUCAGCCUAUCAGCACUUGCUGGAUGUGAGGACUUGCAGUGUGAAAGCUUUGCUGUCCUUUACUUGAUCAUGGAGUUGUU
rnacentral:misc_RNA from 1 species